rnacentral:rRNA from 1 species
AGUGAACGCUGGCGGUAGGCCUAACACAUGCAAGUCGAACGGCAGCACAGUAAGAGCUUGCUCUUACGGGUGGCGAGUGGCGGACGGGUGAGGAAUACAUCGGAAUCUACUUUUUCGUGGGGGAUAACGUAGGGAAACUUACGCUAAUACCGCAUACGACCUACGGGUGAAAGCAGGGGAUCUUCGGACCUUGCGCGAUUGAAUGAGCCGAUGUCGGAUUAGCUAGUUGGCGGGGUAAAGGCCCACCAAGGCGACGAUCCGUAGCUGGUCUGAGAGGAUGAUCAGCCACACUGGAACUGAGACACGGUCCAGACUCCUACGGGAGGCAGCAGUGGGGAAUAUUGGACAAAGGGCGCAAGCCUGAUCCAGCCAUACCGCGUGGGUGAAGAAGGCCUUCGGGUUGUAAAGCCCUUUUGUUGGGUAAGAAAAGCAGCAGGUUAAUACCCCGCUGUUCUGACGGUACCCAAAGAAUAAGCACCGGCUAACUUCGUG